AUUGAACGCUGGCGGCAUGCCUUACACAUGCAAGUCGAACGGUAACAGGUUAAGCUGACGAGUGGCGAACGGGUGAGUAAUAUAUCGGAACGUGCCCAGUCGUGGGGGAUAACGUAGCGAAAGCUACGCUAAUACCGCAUACGAUCUACGGAUGAAAGCGGGGGAUCGCAAGACCUCGCGCGAUUGGAGCGGCCGAUAUCAGAUUAGGUUGUUGGUGAGGUAAAAGCUCACCAAGCCUGCGAUCUGUAGCUGGUCUGAGAGGACGACCGGCCACACUGGAACUGAGACACGGUCCAGACUCCUACGGGAGGCAGCAGUGGGGAAUUUUGGACAAUGGACGCAAGUCUGAUCCAGCAAUGCCGCGUGCAGGACGAAGGCCUUCGGGUUGUAAACUGCUUUUGUACGGAACGAAACGGUGAGCUCUAAUACAGUUUGCUAAUGACGGUACCGUAAGAAUAAGCACCGGCUAACUACGUGCCAGCAGCCGCGGUAA
rnacentral:rRNA from 1 species